AAAGACCGAAUUCUUCGGUUUUUUAUGUCCAACGUUUGACCGUCCGUCUUAUAUAAAUUUUUUUAAUGAUUAGUAUUUUCAUUAUUGUUAGAUGAUAAAACAUGAAUAAUGGUUUAUGCAUGACUUAUCUUUUUAAAUUUUUUUUCAUAAUUUUUUCAAAUAAGACGAACGGUCAAACGUAAGACACGGAAAUCUAGGAAUUGAGUUUUU
rfam:Oryza sativa Japonica Group DNA, chromosome 8, cultivar: Nipponbare, complete sequence.